rnacentral:rRNA from 1 species
UGGGGAAUUUUGGACAAUGGGGGAAACCCUGAUCCAGCCAUUCCGCGUGAGUGAAGAAGGCCUUCGGGUUGUAAAGCUCUUUUGUCCGGAACGAAACGGGUAGGUCUAAUAAGCCUGCCUACUGACGGUACCGGAAGAAUAAGCACCGGCUAACUACGUGCCAGCAGCCGCGGUAAUACGUAGGGUGCGAGCGUUAAUCGGAAUUACUGGGCGUAAAGCGUGCGCAGGCGGUUUUGUAAGCCAGAUGUGAAAUCCCCGGGCUUAACCUGGGAAUGGCAUUUGGGACUGCAAGGCUUGAGUGCGGCAGAGGGGACUGGAAUUCCUGGUGUAGCAGUGAAAUGCGUAGAGAUCAGGAGGAAUACCGAUGGCGAAGGCAGGUCCCUGGGUUGACACUGACGCUCAUGCACGAAAGCGUGGGGAGCAAACAG